UACGGAGGGAGCUAGCGUUGUUCGGAAUUACUGGGCGUAAAGCGCGCGUAGGCGGCUUUGUAAGUUAGAGGCGAAAGCCCGGGGCUCAACCCCGGAACUGCCUUUAAAACUGCAUCGCUUGAAUCCGGGAGAGGUGAGCGGAAUUCCGAGUGUAGAGGUGAAAUUCGUAGAUAUUCGGAAGAACACCAGUGGCGAAGGCGGCGAUCUGGGAAGAUACUGACGCUGAGGUGCGAAAGCGUGGGGAGCAAACAGG
rnacentral:rRNA from 1 species